rnacentral:rRNA from 1 species
AUACAGAGGGUGCGAGCGUUAAUCGGAAUUACUGGGCGUAAAGCGCGCGUAGGCGGCUACUUAAGUCAGAUGUGAAAUCCCCGGGCUCAACCUGGGAACUGCAUCUGAUACUGGGUAGCUAGAGUUUUGGAGAGGGAAGUAGAAUUUCAGGUGUAGCGGUGAAAUGCAUAGAGAUCUGAAGGAAUACCAGUGGCGAAGGCGACUUCCUGGCCAAAAACUGACGCUGAGGUGCGAAAGCGUGGGUAGCAAACGGGAGUAGAAACCCCAGUAGUCC